UCUUUCACACACGUCACAGGUUCUCGCCCGGCGCCCGCCGGGCGGGAUGAAAAGGGAACACCAGUGCCGCCCUGGCGCACGCCGAAGCGCUCAGUUCGUCUUGACGACUGCGCUUCCGUCCUCCGCCACGGCCAGUCUGGGGCUGUACCCGCAACUGUGAAUCGAACGACGGACGCGCGCUGGAGGCGGUUCGCCACUGCCCGACCGAGUGACCCCGACAACCAUCGUCGGGACGGCUCGUCGUGGCGGGAAGGGGAGCCGCCGAGCGCUUCCGUCGACCGUGGGCCGCCGAUCGCUUGGACGGCCCGUGGGUUCGACGAGCCAGGAGACCUGCCUGUGUGCGUGACGAGGA
rnacentral:ncRNA from 2 species